GACGAACGCUGGCGGCGUGCUUAACACAUGCAAGUCGAACGGAAAGGCCCUGCUUUUGUGGGGUGCUCGAGUGGCGAACGGGUGAGUAACACGUGAGUAACCUGCCCUUGACUUUGGGAUAACUUCAGGAAACUGGGGCUAAUACCGGAUAGGAGCUCCUGCUGCAUGGUGGGGGUUGGAAAGUUUCGGCGGUUGGGGAUGGACUCGCGGCUUAUCAGCUUGUUGGUGGGGUAGUGGCUUACCAAGGCUUUGACGGGUAGCCGGCCUGAGAGGGUGACCGGCCACAUUGGGGCUGAGAUACGGCCCAGACUCCUACGGGAGGCAGUAGUGGGGAAUAUUGCACAAUGGGCGGAAGCCUGAUGCAGCAACGCCGCGUGCGGGAUGACGGCCUUCGGGUUGUAAACCGCUUUCGCCUGUGACGAAGCGUGAGUGACGGUAAUGGGUAAAGAAGCACCGGCUAACUACGUG
rnacentral:rRNA from 1 species